UCUCCGUUGGUGAACCAGCGGAGGGAUCAUUACAGAGUUGCAAAACUCCCUCACACCAUCGUGAACCAUACCUUCCAACCGUUGCUUCGGCGGGUUCGGGCCGCCCCGGCCUCGGCCGGGGGGGCCCUCCUUCGCCCCCGUGGAGGGGGCGGCCCGCCGGAGGUACACAAAACUCCUUGACACUUGUACGGCCUCUCUGAGUCUCUGUACUGAAUAAGUCAAAACUUUCAACAACGGAUCUCUUGGUUCUG
rnacentral:misc_RNA from 1 species